rnacentral:tRNA from 3 species
UAUGGCAGAUUAGUGCAUUGGACUUAAAAUCCUUUCAUAAAGAUUUAUCUUUUAUUAAAA